rnacentral:rRNA from 1 species
UACGUAGGGCGCAAGCGUUUGUCCGGAAUUAUUGGGCGUAAAGAGCUCGUAGGCGGCUUGUCACGUCGGGUGUGAAAGCCCGGGGCUUAACCCCCGGGUCUGCAUUCGAUACGGGCUAGCUAGAGUGUGGUAGGGGAGAUCGAAUUCCUGGUGUAGCGGUGAAAUGCGCAGAUAUCAGGAGGAACACCGGUGGCGAAGGCGGAUCUCUGGGCCAUUACUGACGCUGAGGAGCGAAAGCGUGGGGAGCGAACAGG